AGCCUACGGGGGGCAGCAGUUAGGAAUAUUCGUCAAUGGGGGAAACCCUGAACGAGCAAUGCCGCGUGAACGAUGACGGUCCUCUGGAUUGUAAAGUUCUGUUGUUUGGGAAGAACGGCUCUAAUAGGAAAUGAUUAGAGAUUGACUGUACCAUUCAAGAAAGCCACGGCUAACUACGUGCCAGCAGCCGCGGUAAUACGUAGGUGGCGAGCGUUAUCCGGAUUUAUUGGGUUUAAAGGGUGCGUAGGCGGCGCUUCAGGUCAGCGGUGAAAUACCGGGGCUCAACCCCGGGGCUGCCGUUGAAA
rnacentral:rRNA from 1 species